CGUUAUGGCAGCCGUGCGUGGGAGACUUUCGAGUCUGCCGGGUUCCGAUAUGCCCGGUCUUGCACACCUGCGCACGGCUGCCACCUUA
rnacentral:antisense_RNA from 3 species